rnacentral:piRNA from 1 species
UUCCAUUUUUCUUGCCUCUGAUCCUGCUU